UACGAAGGGGGCUAGCGUUGUUCGGAAUCACUGGGCGUAAAGCGCACGCAGGCGGAUCGAUAAGUCGGGGGUGAAAGCCCGGGGCUCAACCUCGGAAUUGCCUUCGAUACUGUCGGUCUCGAGUCCGGGAGAGGUGAGUGGAAUUCCUAGUGUAGAGGUGAAAUUCGUAGAUAUUAGGAAGAACACCAGUGGCGAAGGCGGCUCACUGGCCCGGUACUGACGAUCAGGUGCGAAAGCGUGGGGAGCGAACCGG
rnacentral:rRNA from 1 species